UACAGAGGGGCAAGCGUUAUUCGGAAUUAUUGGGCGUAAAGGGCGCGUAGGCGGCUUUGCAAGUGGCGGGUGAAAGCCCUCGGCUUAACCGAGGAACUGCCUGUCAGACUGUGAGGCUUGAGACCGGGAGAGGUGAGUGGAAUUCCCAGUGUAGCGGUGAAAUGCGUAGAUAUUGGGAGGAACACCAGUGGCGAAGGCGGCUCACUGGACCGGAACUGACGCUGAGGCGCGAAAGCGUGGGAGCAAACAGG
rnacentral:rRNA from 1 species